CCGUGAGGGAAAGGCGAAAAGAACCCCGGCGAGGGGAGUGAAAAAGAACCUGAAACCGUGUACGUACAAGCAGUGGGAGCACAGAGCAAUCUGUGUGACUGCGUACCUUUUGUAUAAUGGGUCAGCGACUUAUAUUCUGUAGCAAGGUUAACCGAAUAGGGGAGCCGAAGGGAAACCGAGUCUUAACUGGGCGUUAAGUUGCAGGGUAUAGACCCGAAACCCGGUGAUCUAGCCAUGGGCAGGUUGAAGGUUGGGUAACACUAACUGGAGGACCGAACCGACUAAUGUUGAAAAAUUAGCGGAUGACUUGUGGCUGGGGGUGAAAGGCCAAUCAAACCGGGAGAUAGCUGGUUCUCCCCGAAAGCUAUUUAGGUAGCGCCUCGUGAAUUCAUCUCCGGGGGUAGAGCACUGUUUCGGCAAGGGGGUCAUCCCGACUUACCAACCCGAUGCAAACUGCGAAUACCGGAGAAUGUUAUCACGGGAGACACACGGCGGGUGCUAACGUCCGUCGUGAAGAGGGAAACAACCCAGACCGCCAGCUAAGGUCCCAAAGUCAUGGUUAAGUGGGAAACGAUGUGGGAAGGCCCAGACAGCCAGGAUGUUGGCUUAGAAGCAGCCAUCAUUUAAAGAAAGCGUAAUAGCUCACUGGUCGAGUCGGCCUGCGCGGAAGAUGUAACGGGGCUAAACCAUGCACCGAAGCUGCGGCAGCGACGCUUAUGCGUUGUUGGGUAGGGGAGCGUUCUGUAAGCCUGCGAAGGUGUGCUGUGAGG
rnacentral:rRNA from 1 species